rnacentral:rRNA from 1 species
CAAUAGCGUAUACUAAAGUUGUUGCAGUUAAAAGCUCGUAGUCGAAUGAAGGUUUCUUGUAUAGCGCGGACGUCUAGGUGUAACUUAGAUUAGUUUGCGCACAAGAACCUCCCUUGUGUGUCUCAGAGGAGCAAAUAUUUAUUUAUUUUGAUCCAUUUGCGACACACACAUUACUGUGAACAAAAUAGAGUGUUCAUGGCAGGUCAAUUUAGGCUUGAAUACCUCAGCAUGGAAUAAUAGAAUAGGACUUCCGGUUCUAUUUUGUUGGUUUUUUGGAGUCCGAAGUAAUGAUUAAUAGGGAGUAGUUGGGGGGCACGUCGUACUCCGUUG